rnacentral:rRNA from 1 species
CACCUUUGACAUGUACGGAAGGAUCCAGAGAUGGAUUUGUGCUCGAAAGAGAACCGUAACAC